rnacentral:rRNA from 1 species
AACAAACGCUGGCGGCGUGCCUAAUACAUGCAAGUCGAACGGGGAAAGCUUUCGGGUGAGUACUAGUGGCGCACGGGUGAGGAACGCGUGGAUAAUCUGCCUUAGAGUGGGGGAUAACUAGUCGAAAGAUUAGCUAAUACCGCAUAAGACCACAGGAGCUGCGGCUCAAGGGGUCAAAGGUUUUUCGCUCUAAGAUGAGUCCGCGUAAGAUUAGCUAGUUGGUGAGGUAACGGCUCACCAAGGCGACGAUCUUUAACUGGACUGAGAGGAUGAUCAGUCACACUGGAACUGAGACACGGUCCAGACUCCUACGGGAGGCAGCAGUAGGGAAUAUUGCACAAUGGAGGAACUCUGAUGCAGCGACGCCGCGUGAGUGAUGAAGGCCUUCGGGUCGUAAAGCUCUGUCGCAGGGGAAUAACACAAUGAAUGUACCCUGUAAGAAAGGAUCGGCUAACUUCGUGCCAGCCGCCGCGGUAAGAC